UUCUUCAGGGCGGGGUGAAAGUCCCCACCGGCGGUAAACCUGCGUAUGACAGGAUAAGCCCGCGAGCCGUAAGGCAGGAUCCGGUGAGAUUCCGGGGCCGACAGUACAGUCUGGAUGGAAGAAGAA
rnacentral:ncRNA from 1 species